GACGAACGCUGGCGGUGUGCCUAAUACAUGCAAGUCGAGCGGACAGAAGGGAGCUUGCUCCCGGAAGUUAGCGGCGGACGGGUGAGUAACACGUGGGCAACCUACCCUGUAGAUCGGGAUAACAUCGAGAAAUCGGUGCUAAUACCGGAUAAUCAUUUGAAGUGCAUGCUUCGAAUGUAAAAGAUGGCUCCGGCUGUCACUACGGGAUGGGCCCGCGGCGCAUUAGCUAGUUGGUAAGGUAAUGGCUUACCAAGGCAACGAUGCGUAGCCGACCUGAGAGGGUGAUCGGCCACACUGGGACUGAGACACGGCCCAGACUCCUACGGGAGGCAGCAGUAGGGAAUCUUCCGCAAUGGACGAAAGUCUGACGGAGCAACGCCGCGUGAGUGAUGAAGGUUUUCGGAUCGUAAAGCUCUGUUGUUAGGGAAGAACAAGUGCCGUUUGAAUAAGGCGGCACCUUGACGGUACCUAACCAGAAAGCCACGGCUAACCACGUGCCAGCAGCCGCCGUAAAAC
rnacentral:rRNA from 1 species